GUGUAUGCAGGAGUGGCAGGGUUGGUGCUGGUUCUCCUUGCCGGGGUCUUACUGACCUUGUUGCUGCUGUGGCUCUGGAGGCAGCGGGCCAAAGAGAGGGCCGGUCAAGAGACCUUGGCCACCAAUAGUGCACCGGCCAAAGGAUUUACUGGACCUGCAAAAGCACCAAAGGGGAGGAGUCAGGCCCAGGCUGGGGAUGAGGGAGAAGUCUACAUGAACUGU